rnacentral:rRNA from 1 species
ACGGCUCAGUAACACGUAGUCAACCUACCCUUGGGACGGGGACAACCUCGGGAAACUGAGGCUAAUCCCCGAUAGGCGGGGGACGCUGGGAUGCCCCCUCGCCCAAAGCUCCGGCGCCCGAGGAUGGGACUGCGGCCUAUCAGGCUGUUGGUGGUGUAACGGACCACCAAACCUACGACGGGUACGGGCGAUGGGAGUCGGAGCCCGGAGAUGGGGACUGAGACAAGGCCCCAGGCCCUACGGGGCGCAGCAGGCGCGAAAACUCCGCAAUGCGCGCAAGCGUGACGGGGGGACCCCAAGUGCCGUUGGUCUUUCGAUCGACGGUUUUUAGGAAGUCUAAGAAGCUUCCAGAAUAAGGGCUGGGCAAGACUGGUGCCAGCCGCCGCGGUAACACCAGCAGCCCAAGUGGUGGCCACGAUUAUUGGGCCUAAAGCGCUCGUAGCCGGAUCAAUAAGUCCCUUGUGAAAUCGGGCCGCCCAACGGUUCGGCGUGCAAGGGAUACUGUUGGUCUUGAGGCCGGGAGAGGUCGGAGGUACUCCUGGGGUAGCGGUGAAAUGCUCUAAUCCUAGGGGGACCACCAGUGGCGAAGGCGUCCGACCAGAACGGACCUGACGGUGAGGGGCGAAGGCUAGGGGAGCGAACGGGAUUAGAUACCCCGGUAGUCCUAGCUGUAAAGCAUGCGGGCCAGGUGUCUAGCGCUCCUUGAGGGCGCUAUGUGCCGGAGGGAAGCCGUUAAGCCCGCCGCCUGGGAAGUACGGUCGCAAAGCUGAAACUUAAAGGAAUUGGCGGGGGAG